rnacentral:rRNA from 1 species
AGUGAACGCUGGCGGUAUGCCUAACACAUGCAAGUCGAACGGCAGCACAGUAAGAGCUUGCUCUUACGGGUUGCGAGUGGCGGACGGGUGAGGAAUACAUCGGAAUCUACUUUUUCGUGGGGGAUAACGUAGGGAAACUUACGCUAAUACCGCAUACGACCUACGGGUGAAAGCAGGGGAUCUUCGGACCUGGCGCGAUUGAAUGAGCCGGUGUGCGAAUAGCUAGUUGGGGGGGUAAAGGCCCACCAAGGCGACGAACCGUAGCCGGGCUGAGAGGGUGAACCGCCACAAUUGGACUGAGACAACGCCCAAGACCCCUACGGGAGGAACCAGUGGGGAAUAUCGGCCAUGGGGGGCAAGCCUGCUCCACAACUCCGGGGGAGGUGUAGCAGGCUUCGGGGUUGUAAAGUCUUUUUGUCGGGACAGAAGACCAGCAGGCUAAUACCGAGCUGUUCUGACGGUACCCAAAGAAUAAGCACCGGCUAACUUCGUG